rnacentral:rRNA from 1 species
GCAAAACCGACGAGGUGGAGCAAAUCUCCAAAAACGUACUCAGUUCGGAUUGUAGGCUGCAACCCGCCUGCAUGAAGUCGGAAUUGCUAGUAAUCGUAGAUCAGCAUGCUACGGUGAAUACGUUCCCGGGCCUUGUACACACCGCCCGUCAAACCAUGAGAGUUGGCAACACCCGAAGCCUGUAGCUUAACCGCAAGGACGGCGCAGUCGAAGGUGGGGUCGAUGAUUAGGGUUAAGUCGUAACAAGGUACC